ensembl:ncRNA asRNA:CR45104 antisense RNA:CR45104
UUUAUGAGAGGCAUAAGGACAUCCUUGGUCUGGUCUAGAAAUAGCCUUGAAUGUGUCCACAUGUCAUGUGGACCAGUUUUUUUUUAUGAAUGAAAAAAGCACCACACCCAGGAGCACCGGGGCAAUGCUUCACCUUGCUCUUGACUGCCGCUUUGCCCCAAACAUCAUAGUACAUAUAUCGAUUGUUCGCUUUAACUUUGGACCUGCGCACUAGCAGAUACAGAUACUCGUACCAAGAUACAUAGAUACUAUAGAUACGCGUACUUAUGUAGAUGUUUUGGCCCCAGCUGCUUAUCACUGGCACAUUGACGACAAUGAGCUUUAUAUGAUGCAGAGACCGAACUGUUGCUUCCCACUGACGUCAUGGGAAUGCUGAUGAUUAGGGUUUCUUGCACCGAAUGUAACCAAAAUCCAAAGGCUGCAUAAUCACCGAGAAAAGCGAUGCGAAGUUUUGUUUAUCAUGUAAUUUGUAGUUGUAUAAAUGAAGUUAAUGAUAAAAUAUCAGAUAUCUGUGACUCCACUGUGGGUAAAGUCCUGAAACCAGUCGAACUGCUCCAGCCAGCGUUGCAUCACGCCGCCAAAGACGUACAGACGCACUGGAACGUAGUCGACCUCUUCGUUCACAUCGUCGGAGGAAUUGGAUGACUCGCGUUCGUUAUCCGAAUCGUCAUUCGACAGAAGGACAUCCAACGCAAUGAGGCAGUGCAGCAGAUAGAUAACACUGGACACCAAUGAGGCUGUCGCCUGGUCCCGCAGGCUACCGAAGAACGGAUGGAGCGGCUUCUCCGGAUAUAGUAAAUCAUCCGGGUUCCUUCCAUCAUACCAUAUAUAGAAAUCCGUCUCGGCAUCGCCCAGUGCCAUCAACGAUAUUACCGUAUAUAGAACAAAUCCGAUCAGAGGACGCACAACUUCCUCAACGAUCGAUGUGCGAUGACCGGUGCAGAGAUUUAUGCUGGCAAAGAGCGUUACCACUGUGAAUAUGUAAAAGAAGGACAUAUAAAAGCUUUGGAUUAGAACAUCUUCCCAUUUCAUCGUUGUCAGAUUGACGAAAACAAAUGCUUUCAGUUGGUAGUACAAAACGAAUAAGUUGGCCGUCGUCUCCACCAUGUAGAAGAGAAAGAGCACCGGGCGCAUUUGAUACAAGUAGACCCUCAUUUCUGCAGUCGCUUCGAACGCUUGACAAAACUAACUACAAUAAGUCUGUGCGACAGGUGUACUAUGUUUGAAGUGAAACGCUUUAAUUCCAGCUCAAAAAUUAAAAAAAAAAAAAAAUAACAGAAUAUGUAGAGCCAGGAACUAAGCUCAAGUCAAUUUGGUCAAAAAGAUUUGGCUAAAACUACAUAAGCGGCCCAAACGAAUGGUCAAAACGAACUGACUAAGAUGAAAGACCAAAACGAAAUAACCAAAGCAAGACAAAAACGAAAUGAUAUAACGAAAUUAAUGGCCAAAACCGAAUGACCAAUACGAAAUGGACAAAAUGCCAUAACCUAAAGCAAAUGGUCAAAAAUGGUCAAAUGAUCAAACGGAAGGAGCAAAGCGAGGUAGUUUCGAAAGAGCUUCAUUCUACUAAUUUACAAUUU